UCCCCAAAUUAAUUUACUAAUUUCCUUAAACUGUUUAUUUUGUUUACAAACCGUUCAUACCACACCCCAAAUCCGCAACUCAUUAUCCAAUUCGAGCUCAUCCCAUAACACAUAAAUAUCCGGUGCACAAGGUCACUUCCUCUUUGGCAAUCUCCUCACCUGGGGUCACGCAGGCAGCACGGCUGGUUGGCAGCAGAAAUUACACACUACCUUCACUAAACGGUCGAUCCUAACAUUAUAGAGACUCAGCGGUCAGGUUUUUUUUGUUACCCCUUCCUUUCCCUGGAUUGGAUCCGUCGUAAGACUGGCGAGCUACCCAAGGAACUCUGAACUCCCCACACCUACCCCCCUUUCCCAAAGAAGACUACCACGGUUAGGGUAGGAACAAGGACUCUGGGACAUGAGGAACUGAACUGAUUUAAGGUCGAUUAGAGAAAGGGCAGAACUUUAAUUUUUUUGCAAUUUUUUAAAAAAGGCCUCCCUUUGUUAUUAUUGAUGGAUUGUUUGAAGUUGUUUGUGUUUAUUAUUUGGAAAAAAUAUUAUUUGUCAAUACACUUACUUUAAACUUAA